AGUUUAGGGUAUAGAGUUAUUGUUUAGGGUUUAGGGUAUAGAGUUUAUGUUUCUAGGUUUAGAGUUGAAGGUUUAGGGUUUAGGGUUUAGGGUUUAGAGAUGAUAUUUCGGGGUUUAUUAGAGUUAAUGUUUCAAGGUUUAGAGUUCAUAUUUCAAAAAGAAAAUAUAGUGUUUAGGAUUGUUGAUUUAAGGUUUAGGGUUCUUAUUUCAAAAAAAAUAUAGGGUUUAAGAUUGAUGGUUUAGGGGUUAGAGUUGAGUUUUAGAGUUUAGGAUUUGAAUUUCGAAAUAGUAUAAUUCGAGAAAAGUUAAAAAU
rnacentral:lncRNA from 1 species